AGAGCGAACGCUGGCGGCAGGCCUAACACAUGCAAGUCGAACGGACUCUUCGGAGUUAGUGGCGGACGGGUGAGUAACACGUGGGAACGUGCCUUUAGGUUCGGAAUAGCUCCUGGAAACGGGUGGUAAUGCCGAAUGUGCCCUUCGGGGGAAAGAUUUAUCGCCUUUAGAGCGGCCCGCGUCUGAUUAGCUAGUUGGUGAGGUAAAGGCUCACCAAGGCUACGAUCAGUAGCUGGUCUGAGAGGAUGACCAGCCACAUUGGGACUGAGACACGGCCCAAACUCCUACGGGAGGCAGCAGUGGGGAAUCUUGCGCAAGUGGGCGAAAGCCUGACGCAGCCAUGCCGCGUGAAUGAUGAAGGUCUUAGGAUUAGUAAAAUUCUUUCAGUAGGGACGAUAAUGACGUACCUACAGAAGAGCCCGACUAACUCGUGCCAGCACGCCGC
rnacentral:rRNA from 1 species